UAUAAUUAAUUGUACUGAAAUAGAAAAGGAUGUGAAACACUUUCACACUAGAGCUUCUCUUCUGUAAUGAGCCAAAUUAUUUAUUUAUUUGUUAGUGUAUUAACUGUUUACUGACUGUGUGGAUUUUUUGUGCCAUUGCCAGUGGAUCUAUGGCACGCUGUUGGUUGUCUCUGUGCUUGAGUUCAGCAUUUCUAUCUCCACCUAUAAAGCCGCCGGCUGCACUGCAGCUACACCGAUACAGUAUUCACAACCAUUGAUCCCACAGCCGAUGAAUCCACAACCCACCAUACAACAGCUGACGUUUCAACAGCCAAUGAUUCAACAGCCAAUGAAUCCACCGCCAAUGUACAAUCCACCGCCAAUGUACAAUCCACCGCCAAUGUACAAUCCACAGCUGAUGAAUCCACCGCCAAUGUGCAAUCCUGCGUACAACCCACAGACUCCAAGUCAAUUUGUUUCUAUAAAAUGCUAAAACAUUUGAAUUUUAAUCAUGGUGUAGUUCUGUACUGUUUAUGCUUCAUGCCGAACCUCACGUCUAUUACAGUUAGCUGUGAAGCAUUGAGUCUGAAAAACGAUGACUGCAGAGCUACUAAAAUAAUCUAGCAUCUCGUCUUUAAUUAUUUUGUUUCGUAUCUAUGGUCCGAUUCUGUGAGUGUGUCUGAUUGUAACCUGUCUGAUUAACAAUAAACUUUGCAUGUGGUCCCACUGUGUAAUAACACCA